CUCCUAAAUAAAUAACUUUUAAAUAUUUAUUUGAAGGACAGAGUUAUGGAGAAUGAGGGAGAGACAGAGAGAAAGAGAUCUUCUAUCCACUGGCUCACUCCCCAAAUAGCUGCAGCAGCCCGGACUGGGCCAAGCUGAACCUGAGAGCCACGAGUUUCUUAGGGGUUUCCCACAUUGGUGGCAGAGGUCCAAAUACUUGGGCAGUCUUACACUGCUUUACAAGGCACAUUAGCAAGGAGCAGUCAAGAGUAGAGAAGCCAAGACUUGAACCAGUGCCCAUAUUUGAUGCUGUGUCACAGGCAGUGGCUUAAACAUUUGCAUCACAAUGCCAGCCCCCCAAAUAAAUAUUUUUUUGAAAAAAAAUGAUGGGGCCAGUGCUGUGGCAUAGCAUUUAAAGCCACUGCCUGCAGUGCUGGCAUCCCAUUUGAGUGCUGGUUCAAGACUCAGUUGCUCCACUUCCAAUCCAGCUCUCUGCUUUGACCUGGGAAAACAGGCUCAAGUCCUUGGACGCUUGCACACACGUGGGAGACCUGAAAGAAGCUCCUGCCUCCUGACUUGAGAUCAGUUCAGCUCCACCUGUUGCAGCCUUUUUUGGGAGUGAACCAGCAGAUGAAAGACCUUUCUGUCUGUCUCUGCCUCUGGAGAGAUAUCUCUAACUCUGCCUUUCAAAUAAAUAAAUCUUAAAAAAAGAAAAGAAAUGAGAAUAAGAAUUAUACUAGUAGGUGCUAUAUAAUAUCUUUUUACUGGUCACUUAAUGAUUAAUACUUUGUUAAUUAUACUAGUUAACAAUAAUCAAACAUUAACAGAAAUAAGCAUUUCAAAUUCUGAUCACAUUAUUUGGUGCAUGUGUAGGAUGUUACCAGUGAGGUAAAAAAAAUAUUAUCCCAAUACAAUAACAUUGAUGAAACAUUUUUGGUUUGUAAAGGACAUGUUUUCUUUAUAAAAAGUCUAUGAAGAGAAAAUCUUUCCCACUUUACAAUCCUGUGUUGAAGCAACUUGUUCAACCUCUUAUAGCUAGGGAGAAAGAUGUGUCUAUGCCUCUAAACUUUUGAGAUUUUUUCUGAUAAUUAUUUUUGAGAAUCACUGUUAGGGGUCCUAAACACUUCAUUUCCAUCAUUACAUCCCAAACAGCAUGUGGACAGGCACUCAAGGGGUUUCACGAGGAUCACAUUGGUCAAGAACAUCAUAGGUCAAUAUGUGUUAGCAAUGAAGAAAAGAAAAACUUCUUGAAGAUGAAUAGCCUGGCAUCCUUACAAUUUCCUGCAUUUUUGUUCCUAGGCAUGCCUAUCAGAAUCUGCUGUGCUUACAGCACCCGCUGGGAAAAGUAGCCCUGGGUUGACCUUAAGCAAGAGGUAGCCAUUAACUGAGGCAGAAGUCAUAACCAUGUUCAAGAACAGCUAAUCCUGGAUAUUGGUUGAUAUCCACUGCAGUGAUUGUGCAUAAUAAUGAACUGAAUAUUUACACUGGUUGUACUGCACGGUUUUAACAAGGAAAAUGGAUGAAUGAGCCAGAUCCUCUUGCCACUGGACCAAUCACCACCAUCUAUUAAGCUUUUCCUUCUGACCGAAUGGACUCCUUGUUCUCCUGCUGACGACCGUCUUAGAAGACUAUGGUCAAACUGUCCGUUAGCUUCUGACCCCUAUAUAGACGACCUUAUUAAGGUACGUCUUAAUAGAAUGCUUUUAUGUACUUCCAAGUCCUCUAUCUCCAGAAGUGCCUACCAAUUCCUCAGGAAUGAUCUAUGUAAAGAAAUUGGAGAAGCAAAGAAUCAGAGCUCCCACGUGGUUCAGCCACAGAGGAUGCUCCAGAUUUGAAGCCUUCCAGGAAUGGGAAUCUUGAGGUCUUAAGUGAAAAGGCUUCUCUAUCCUCAGUCCUCGCAUUUUUUUUUUUUACAGGCAGAGUGGACAGUGAGAGAGAGAGACAGAGAGAAAGGUCUUCCUUUGCCGUUGGUUCACCCUCCAAUGGCCGCCGUGGCUGGUGCGCUGCAGCCGGCACACCGCGCUGAUCCGAUGGCAGGAGCCAGGUGCUUCUCCUGGUCUCCCAUGGGGUGCAGGGCCCAAGCACUGGGGCCAUCCUCCACUGCACUCCCUGGCCACAGCUGGCCUGGAAGAGGGGCACCCGGGACAGAAUCCGGCGCCCCAACCGGGACUAGAACCUGGUGGGCCGGCGCCGCAAGGCAAGGCGGAGGAUUAGCCUAUUGAGCCACGGCGCCAGCUAAGUCCUUGCAUUCCUAUGCAGGCACAUAAGUAACUACAGAGAGAACUAGAUGGGGCUCCCUAGACCCCCUGCUGUGUUUGUUUAAGGUUUAUUUAUUUAUUUGAAAUCAGAGUUACAGAGAGAGAGAGAGAGAGGAGAGAAAGGUCUUCCAUCUGGUGGUUCACUCCCCAGCUAUCCACAGCAGCAAAGGCUGGACCAGGCCAAAGCCAGAAGUUUCGUCUAAGUCUCCUACAUGGUGUCAGAAACCCAAACACUUGGGUCAUCUGCUGCUGCUGUCCCGGGUGAGUUAGCAGGACACACCGCUGUCUUGACAGGAAGAGCUCAGUCCUUCUCUGGACUCCGUAAGUCUUUCCAGGAUGAGAUAAGUUGUUCCUCUAACAAAGAAUCAGAGCAUGGCCUCGUGCUUUCGCCUCAAAGUUUCUUCAUUCAGGUCCCUGUGGUCCUAAAUGUACAUAUCUUGAAAUUAUGGAGGUGUCUUUUCAACUCUACUCAAGGAACAAUCUGGGGGCAGUUCUGCUUUGGGUAGUUUACAUCAGUUGAGAGCAAAUGGGAGCAACAAUAGAGCUGUCUUGAAACCACUGUGAUCACUGAGAAUGCAAAGCUGAGGUUCUUGCCUAAACUGUGCCUCUGAAUCAAUUGUAAGGCUCAUAGGAGCCCAGGUUAUUGAGCCUCCUGGGGAUUUUGCUUCCACAUGUCUAGGGCGAAUCAGAAGGAAAUGCAUUCCUAACAAGUUCCCAAAUGAUGCUGACACUGUGGUCCAGGAACUCCUUCUUGAGAACUAUUGAUUUGUUAAUCUCUCUUUUGCUCAGUUUUUCAGCCAGCACUCACUGUUGCUUUGGUCAGAAUACAUAAAAAAUCCAUAAAUCUUGCUGCUACUAAACAGGCUACUCCUUGCAGACCACUUAUUCUUGCUUUAAGUGGUAUUAAGUGAUGCCUGAGCCCUGGGGGUGUCUAAUGAGAAAAAGAGGGAGAGGACCAGAAAAACAAAUAUAAUGUGUGCUUCAGACUCAAUCAGGCCUGGAUGAGACCUCAUGGAUAUCACCAUGUACCCAAUUCAGACUCAUUUCCCUAAAUUCAGAUUGAAUCAAACACAAAGGAUACAAGGAGGAGGACAGUUAUUUUUAACCCAAUAAAGGGCAUUAUCUUUGUUUUUCUCCCUGUGAGAUGAACAAUGUGGGAUUGCCUGGCCAGAGCUUGUCAUCUGUUCUGAUCUCAUCUGGUUGUCUAUAAUUAGAUUGCAAGCCCCUUUGGGCAGUAACUGUGGAGCUGUAAUCAGAUUUUGUACAGUGCCUGGCACAAUCCCUUAACCAUAAAGCGGGUGCUCAAUAAAUAUUUAUUGAUGAUGUUUAUCUUUAAUUCCUCAGGAAGCUUAGGCGACUAAGUAGGUCACUCUACUUAGUUGAAUGAUAAUGGAAUUGAUAAACUCUCUCAGGGAGGUGAAAGCAGGUCUGGUAGAUUUCUGAAAACUAGUCCACCAUCAGAUAUUCAAAAUGUGGAGGUAUCACUUAGCACCCUACGGGCAUUAAAAGUUUGUGUCAAACUUAUAAGAGUGACCCAAGCACUGGAAGAGAUGAAGCACCAUAAACUAGGAUGUCGAAUGUGAGUCUUCUGGUGCCUCCAAAAACAUGUAUCUAAUUAAAAGCACACAUACAGCCAUAUAAAAGCAUACGUCACGUCAUUUACAGGAGAAAGUGAGAUAGGAAAUUCCAGGGCAAAGCAACACCUGGAGAGCUUCUAUUUUCUCUAGGCUGUGCCUAUAGGGUGUGCUCAGAAAAUUUAAUAACCACGUUGGGUAAUGUAUAUUUGAUUGGUAGCCCAGCUAAUGAGUAUUAUUUGGCCAUCCUCACUCUUCUGGCAAGCAUUCUGGUAAGCUACCUAUUUUCUGGGCCUUUCCCCUACUCUUUGAUGCAAACACAAGGCUAAAGCAAUCUGUUGUGUAAGAGGUAAAAGGGUAAAAGCCAGAGACAGAGAACAAGGACUUCAAAAAGAAAGCGGUGAUGUUGCCCAACUUGAGCUUGUCCAUUCGGAACAUUGUUUGGAGAAGACACAAUCCAUUGUUUCUUGCAAAUGAUUGCCUUGGAAUUCUUUUCUAGGCUUCUAAGACUCAUUCACCUUGUGACCCUACAUAUUUCACCUACUGCCUGGUUCCUUUGCCUUUGUGUUUGCCUCCCCUCUUCCAUACACCGAGCUUCUGUUGAUUGAAAAAUGGAUAGAAAAUAGAAAAGAGCACAGCAGCCUUCAGAUAAUGCAGACGCUUCACCUGGGCCUGUAGCAUCAGAGCUAAGGUUAAGGUGUCCAUUACCUACCUUUGUUCCAUUUGGCACAAAGAAAGUUUUCCUCCUCAUAGUUAGGAACGUGGUUUCAAAGCUAUUUUGUCUAAUUUUAUAUCAAUCCUUGCACAUGAGCAGUGCAUUCACAUUUGGAACUGAGAGUCAAAAGUCCAUCGAAUGACUUAGGAGGGAUUGGAAUGUUGGCUUUCAGACACUGCAUUGAGUUUCUUGGAAUUGGAGUUUAACUAGGUGCUGAACUGCAGUUUUCCUGGGUGAAUUCUUCCUAUGUACAAGCUAAGUGAAAUUGGAGAAUUUUUGGUGUGUGUCAUAGAGGAUGAAUCAAGAAAGUGAUGUAGGAAAUGAUGUUUAGGGAAUGGUAUUAAAUAGUUCCCCUGAAAGCUUAGAAAGUUAGUUUAAUAGAAGUAGAGAAUAGGAUAAAGACUAGGAAGGGAAGGGCAAGGGGGAAAAGAGUUGGAAAACAUAGUCAAAAAUACAAUUUUAUAGAGGAAUAAAUUCUAGCAUUCUAAGUUAUAGUUGGGUGACUAUAAUUAUAAAAAAUUACAUUUUAUAAAUAAUUAGAAAUGAGGAGUUGGAAGUUUCCCAACACAAGGAAAUGAAAAAUCUUUAAGGAGAUGGAAAUCUUAAUUACCCUGAUCUGAUCAUUACAAUUAUAUUUGUCAAAUUAUCACAUUGUACCUCCCAAGAUAUGUACAGUUGCCAUGUGUCAAUUGAAAGUAAAAAUUGAUCAGAACAAAUAAAUGAUACCAGUUGUGGACUGAGAAGUAUGCAUUAUUUUUUAAAAAGUUGACUUUGUAGAAGCAGAUGUCCAAAAGAAUGAUACGUGAAUAGUUUUUAGAGAUUUCAGAAGGCAGUGAUCUAUCUAGACAAGCAGUCUUAAAAUUAAAGAAACAUGAAACAGAUUCUAGAAAACAGUGUAGGUUCUCCUCCUCAAACAAUUUCCAAGUAGCUAAUAAAACUAUAUUUUCUUGAAGGAACUACUAGUGCCCCUGAAAGAAGCUGCCCAGGGUUCAGAAACAACCUUUCUAUUUCCCCCAACUGGAGCCCAACCCAACAGCAUGAAGACUGUACUGCCAACCAGGAGAUCCACAGGCCAGUCAUUGACACUGAUUUUGCUCUGUUUCCUUCUGCACAUGACUGCAUGUCUCCUAUUCUCAGCUGCUCCUUCUCUAAAAUCAGUAAUUAGCAAAGAGAUGACUGUGGCGACGUCUUCCGGCUCUACCCAUCCAGGAAAGCAGUCUGUGCUCCCUACUGUGCCCAGGAGGAAAGAUUCUACUCAGAUGCCAGCUGCCCUAUUCACUGGAUGUGGAACCUUGAUCUUGGCAGGUUUAUUACUUCACUGAACCACAGUUUCCUAAUCUAAAAGAAAUGAGGGUAAUGAUCAUAUCUAUUUCAAGGAGUUACUAUUGGGAUUAACGAAGAUGACACAUAUAAGCACGUACCCAAGCUACAGCUGACAACCUGCCAGAAAUAAUCAACCGUCACUCCCCACUUCUGCUGAUUCACAUAGGAAGAAAUGAUUCAGUCAUGAAAGAUCUACAGUGUAUCUAUUGAGACUUUGAAGUUCAGGUCAGGAAACAGAAACCUGAGGGCACAGGUAAUUAUCUGAAUUUCUCUUUCAUUGGAGAACCUGAUUUGGGGGGGGAGGGGUAUGAAACUUUUAAUAAUAAUUUAAUCAGUGAUAGAGCAAUAACAAACAUUUUGUUUUUGAAAUUAAGCCCUCAUAAAUUGUACUUAUUGUAAACAACAUUCUGAUAUAUAGAGUAAAAUUAUGAUUUAAUGGCUAGCACACUCUUCGUCUUACAAACAACGGAUGGAGAAUACGUUGCCAGAGACUCAGAGAUGUCAUCAAAAUGAGUUUAAGCCAAAUUCAAGCAGCAGAAAGUAACAAAUACUGAAAUUAAAGUCAAACUAAAAACAGUUUUUAAAAAACAUUCAUUUGGGGCCAGCACCAUGG